rnacentral:rRNA from 1 species
AGACCGAUAGCGAACAAGUAGCAGUGAUGGAAAGAUGAAAAGCACUUUGAAAAGAGAGUGAAAUAGCGUGUGAAAUUGUUGGAGGGGAAGGCGAUGGUAGGAAUAAGAGGCUGCGGUUUGAAAUAAUUAUUUUUCGGGCCACGGUCUCCUGAGCCUGCUUUCGCACCCGUCUUGAAACACGGACCAAG